UUCAGAUCGGGACUUCGGAGCCUUUUCGCAUCUCGGUUGAUUCAGAUCGGGACUUCGGAGCCUUUUCGCAUCUCGGUUGAUUCAGAUCAGCACUUCGGAGCCUGUUCAGAUCGCCACUUCGGAGCAUGUUCGCAACUCGGUUGAUUCAGAUUGGGACAUCGGAGCAUGUUUGAGAUUUUUUUUUAAUUCACAUCUGGACAUCGAAGCAGGAAGUGUUUGUCAAACAGUUAAUUGGUGAUAAAUGAAUAUUUGGACUUGAGGCUUUUUUUAACCUGUCGAUUCAGCAUGUACAUGGGCCCACACACAAAGGUGGACACACUCUAGACUUAAUCAUCAGAAGAGCUCUAAACUUUUCAUCCAUUUGUUAUUAAGGACGUUAUUCAUAACUGUACUGAAAAUAAGCAAAUAUUGUAGCUGAUGCUAAAUGUCUACCUCCUAUAUAUCAUAUAUAUAUAUAUAUAGAGAGAGAUAGAUAGAUAGAUAGAUUACAUCUGAGGAGAAAAGAAAGGAUGUGAUGUUCAGAACAUGGUUACUACAGUAAUUAUCAAAGAGGGGAAGAGAUGCACCCCGUUUGGCCAGGGGUGUUUUUACACCCCAGACAAGGUAUAAGAAGGAAAAAAUCAUUAUGAAAAUAUAAUUAUAUUUUCCUUAAAAUCUUCAUAUAUAACUGUGAUAUUCUGUAAAACAACAAACUUUAAAAUACUUUGUUCUUACUGGUGAAAAUCAGAUGGUCAUCAUCUCUGUUUUCUCUCAGGUACAUCACAGUGUAAGCUUCACAGUGAACAUUACUCUCGUCAGUGUAGUCCAUAUCAACAACAAAAAUACAUCUUGACUCCAUAUAGUGGUUAUUUUGGGAAAAAAUCCCAGGUAUUUUGAGCAGUAGGAUUAUUUAAAAAAUAAUUUUUACUUAAGUACAUAAAAAAUUGAGUACUUUUGUACUUUCACUUGAGUAAAAUUGAAAAAGGAGUACUUUUACUUUUACUGGAGUUAUAUUUUAUUAUACGUAUCUGUACUUUUACUCAAGUACUUGAUUUGUGUACUUCGUCCACCACUGCAUAUUAUAGAAUUCCUUGCCAAUUUAUGUUUUGAAAACAUAGUCAUUAUUUUUGCUAUUGUUAUGCUGCUAUUGGUGUAGAAAUUCUAAAUUUAGGGUUUGGGUUGGUGAUAAGGUUAACAUUAUUUGUUUUGAUAUGUUUUUUUCAGGACAGCAAAAGAUGACCAACAAAUUCUUCCCUUUGUAGAACCUCAGUGAACAGACACACAAAUAAACUACACAAUCUGAACACCAUUAAUGAUUAGCUAAAGGGGAACAAUGUUCAGAUUGUGUGGACCCGAUCUUUGCAAGACUGUGAAAUGAAUGAAAAGAUAGUAUUUUGAAUGGUGUGUGUUGUAUGACAUGUUAUAAGAGUUAUUAAACAAAAGCCUCCAAAUAUAUUUCCCCAUGUGAUAAGUUGGAGCAUCAUGUUGGAAUGCAUGCUCCAUCUUGCAACAAGACGAUUGGAAGAUCGUGUCGUGGGAUGGACCAAAUCCGCUUGGAUAAAACCCCAAUGCCGGAACUAUUAAGUUCAUGGCUUGAAAUACCUAUUUUAAGACGCUGCUAGCGUUCUUGUCAUCCAGAACUCAAAACACUCAGAAUCUUCAAAGUCUUGCAAACAGCGAAACCAGGCAACCAACCAAUAACCAGGAGGGUUUUCUCAAAAGACGUCAUCCAAAUGGCAGAUCUGCAACCAAUCCAAGGCACGGGGAUUCUCUUAGACGAGGAUUUUCAGAUACAUCCGAUAGAUCCCUCGCAGUCUAUCCUAUGCCAGAAUUCAUAGCACACCAGUGGUGACGGGACUUUUAUUCAAACAAAUUAGUGGGUGAUGGUUCUGUGGAGGCCAAUGGAUACACUUAGAAAUGGUUCGCAUCAUCUGGGUUCCUCUGAGGGUCAGCAUCAUCUCUUCUCAGGUGUUCUGGAUCCAGACUGGAGCUUGUGUAAAUCCUUGUUACCACGAGAUGUAAAUCCCGUGGCAAAACAUAGAAACAAAUAGAGACAUCAUUAGCAUAGCUGCUGAUCCAACAAAGUAGAAUUAAUUAGUUUAACCCAAGGUAAAGAAUAAGAGUGUGCAUUUGAUCAGAUGCAACUACACUCACAAUUUAAGAGAUACAUUAUUCGAUUGUUGGGCGAAAGAGAUGCGUUUUUAAUCUAGAUUUAGACAGAGAGAGUGUGUCUGAACCCCGAACAUUAUCAGGAAGGCUAUUCCAGAGUUUGGGAGCCAAAUGUGUAAAGCUCUACUCUAAGUAUUGUGUUUUAAUUUACUCGUAUAGCUAGUGAAACAAAUGUUAAGAGUCAGGGAUCUUAAAAAAUGUGAAUAGAUUCAUUUAUUAGCUGGUCGGAGUCAAAAGUUAUUGUAUUUAUUAAAUUGAGAGCUGAAUUUGAUGAUUCCUGUUCUUGAGACAAAAACUCAGCAAUUGUGCAUUGGAGGAAAGGCAUUACCUAUCUGUAAUAUUUCCACUAGGACCUCUUGGGUUCACAACAAUUAACCCUCACCCAUAUAUAAUGCCCACAACAAUAAGAUGAGUACUGUAGGCUACUUAAUAAACAGACUAGUCUUUCAGUCAUUUUCAUUUUAUUUGUAACUUUUAUUUUAUUAUUUAUUUAUUUUGUAACAAAAUAUUUCCACA